rnacentral:misc_RNA from 1 species
UCGUACAACCGAGGUGCGAAGGCUGUCGCUGACCCUCAAAGGUCGUGCACGCCCGAGCGCUCUCACACAAUCCAUCUCACCUUUGUGCAUCACCGCGUGGGUCCCCUUUGCGGGAGGGCUUGCGUUUUCACAUAAAACUUGAUACAGUGUAGAAUGUUUUUUCUUUUCUUUUGCGGUCACACGCAAUCAAUA